UUGAUGUAUAGUGACGGUUCCCUGAACCAUUGCAAUAGAUGAAUCUUUGGCGACGAUUUCUGAAAAAAAAAGGGCUACUGGGUCAGUUGUGCUUUCCCUCCCCAUUUUCCCUCUUAUAGCUUUAUCGCGCCUUUUUUUUACAGAAGGGAGACUAAGCGCCUGAAGGAAAAACAAAAGAAAAACUAAAAGUCCUAGCACAUAUACAAAGAGCAAAAGGCCUAAAGUUUAAUACACGCCCUAAACGAGAUAGCACGCUGUCGUCGACACUAAAGAUCGAUUACCACCAGAAAAGGCUCACGGAAAACCAAGAGAUUAAGAGAGAGCUUUUUGAGGCCUCUCCAAUUUGAAGCUAUCUGAAGUCUCGUCUCCCUUUACAAUAGCCGUUAUAGGACCUGAACAUCCAGGACGUCUUAGAUUGUAUGGACGAGGGGUUACAAGAACUUCUUUGAAAGAAAAAAUGGGACAUUUUGAACCCUCUUCACAUGCUACAAAUAAUCUGGUGCAACAAAUGGAAGAAAGGAUGAUAAGAAUGUUUGACGAAUAAAAGGAACAAUUUGAGAAACAGAAGGAAGAAUUUGAAAAACAAAAGGAACAAUAUGCGGAACAAAAGAAAAUGAUGCGACAAGAAAUUCUAGGAGAUAUCUUUGUACAGUUUCAGCUUUCAGGAUUGCCAAUUGAUCCUACUAUUUUAGCAACCUUGUGUGCGCGUUCAUCAGGAGAAGCUUCCUCCGCCCAACAAGUAGCUAUUCAACCAAUCAACAGGCCAUCUUUUGGAAGCAACAAUCAAGCUGAACCAAAUGAUCAAGGGGAAGAUGAAAGCAGUGAAGACCUUACCUAAAAAUAUUGGUUGUAGAAUCUACAGACAAUCUAAGAAUAUUUUUAUUUUUGAAUUAUUUUGCAAACUUAUAUAUGCCAACUUUUGGAUUAUUAAACACUUUUAUCGUAUAUUUUUCUUUUAUCGUGGUUGUGUAUUUUGA